rnacentral:rRNA from 1 species
AUUGAACGCUAGCGGGGUGCUUUACACAUGCAAGUCGAACGAGAGGCGGACGGGUGAGUAAUAUAUCAGAACGUGCCCAGUAGCGGGGGAUAACUACUCGAAAGAGUGGCUAAUACCGCAUAAGAUUGGAUCGGCCGUUAUCGGAUGAGCGAGUUGGUGGGGUAAAGGCUCACAAAGGGAACGAUCCGUAGCUGGUUUGAGAGGACGACCAGCCACACUGGGACGGAGACACGGCCCAGACUCCUACGGGAGGCAGCAGUGGGGAAUUUUGGACAAUGGGCGAAACCCUGAUCCAGCCAUCCCGCGUGUAUGAGAAGGCCUUCGGGUUGUAAAGUACUUUUGGCAGAGAAGCGGUAUCUGCAGAAUAAGCACCGGCUAACUACGUGCCAGCAGCCGCGGUAAUAC